CCUACGGGCGGCAGCAGUGAGGAAUAUUGGUCAAUGGACGAGAGUCUGAACCAGCCAAGUAGCGUGAAGGAUGACUGCCCUAUGGGUUGUAAACUUCUUUUAUAUGGGAAUAAAAUGUUCCACGUGUGGGAUUUUGUAUGUACCAUAUGAAUAAGGAUCGGCUAACUCCGUGCCAGCAGCCGCGGUAAUACGGAGGAUCCGAGCGUUAUCCGGAUUUAUUGGGGUUAAAGGGGCCGUAGGUGGAUUGUUAAGUCAGUUGUGAAAGCUUGCGGCUCAACCGUAAAAUUGCAGUUGAAACUGGCAGUCUUGAGUACAGUAGAGGUGGGCGGAAUUCGUGGUGUAGCGGUGAAAUGCUUAGAUAUCACGAAGAACUCCGAUUGCGAAGGCAGCUCACUGGACUGCAACUGAUACUGAGGCUCGAAAGUGUGGGUAUCGAACAGGAUUAGAUACCCGUGUAGUC
rnacentral:rRNA from 1 species